GUGGCUAAAAUUUGUUUAAUCGCCCGAUCGCUCGGCAAGGGUCUGUGUCUUAGGUGGACUUAUUUUUCGUUUAUAUGGGCCGAUGAUGCUGGUCGAUGUGGAAAAAAUAACUGAGUUGUUUGGUGGUGGAGCUACAACAGAGGGCAGCUAUCCACCGGUGUGUGACAGAAAGGACAUGCCGCGAACGAGACAUACAAGGCGGUGAGGCUACCGCGGAUCGACCGCUGUUUGCUAACGCGGAGGUCAAUCGUGGAUGAGGAAAAGCGAAGGCAGGAGCGUGAGGUGAACUGAAUUUCAGAGGGCAGCUAUCCACCGGUGUGUGACAGAAAGGACAUGCCGCGAACGAGACAUACAAGGCGGUGAGGCUACCGCCGAUCGACCGGUGUUUGCUAACGCG
ensembl:lncRNA